rnacentral:rRNA from 1 species
AACGAACGCUGGCGGCAUGCCUAACACAUGCAAGUCGAACGAGACCUUCGGGUCUAGUGGCGCCCGGGUGCGUAACGCGUGGGAACCUGCCUUUAGGUUCGGAAUGACUCAGAGAAAUUUGAGCUAAUACCGGAUGAUGUCUUCGGACCAAAGAUUUAUCGCCCUUAGAUGGGCCCGCGUUGGAUUAGCUAGUUGGUUGGGUAAAGGCAUACCAAGGCGACGAUCCAUAGCUGGGCUGAGAGGAUGGUCAGCCACACUGGGACUGAGACACGGCCCAGACUCCUACGGGAGGCAGCAGUGGGGAAUAGUGGAAAAUGGGCGAAAGCCUGAUCCAGCAAUGCCGCGUGAGUGAUGAAGGCCUGAGGGUUGUAAAGCGCUUUUACCCGAGAUGAUAAUGACAGUAUCGGGAGAAUAAGCUCCGGCUAACUCCGUG